CAGUAGCCACGGUAAUACGAAGGGUGCAAGCGUUACUCGGAAUUACUGGGCGUAAAGCGUGCGUAGGUGGUGGUUUAAGUCCGUUGUGAAAGCCCUGGGCUCAACCUGGGAAUUGCAGUGGAUACUGGGUCACUAGAGUGUGGUAGAGGAUAGUGGAAUUUCCGGUGUAGCUGUGAAAUGCGUAGAGAUCGGAAGGAACGUCUGUGGCGAAGGCGACUAUCUGGGCCAACACUGACACUGAGGCACGAAAGCGUGGGGAGCAAACAGGAUUAGAUACCCCAGUAGUCCCUGUCUCUUAUAC
rnacentral:rRNA from 1 species